rnacentral:rRNA from 1 species
CCUACGGGUGGCAGCAGUGAGGAAUAUUGGUCAAUGGGCGCGAGCCUGAACCAGCCAAGUAGCGUGAAGGAUGACUGCCCUACGGGUUGUAAACUUCUUUUAUAAAGGAAUAAAGUGGGGCACGUGUGCCUUUUUGUAUGCACUUUAUGAAUAAGGAUCGGCUAAGUUCGUGCCAGCAGCCGCGGUAAUACGGAGGGUCCGAGCGUGAUCCGGAUUUAUUGGGUUUAAAGGGAGCGUAGAUGGGUUGUUAAGUCAGUUGUGAAAGUUUGCGGCUCAACCGUAAAAUUGCAAUUGAUACUGGCAGCCUUGAGUACAGUUGAGGCAGGCGGAAUUCGUGGUGUAGCGGUGAAAUGCUUAGAUAUCACGAAGAACUCCGAUUGCGAAGGCAGCUUACUAAACUGCCACUGACGUUGAUGCUCGAAAGUGUGGGUAUCAAACAGGAUUAGAUACCCCGGUAGUC